rnacentral:sRNA from 1 species
AGAUUGCUCCGCGUGAGUGAUGGUAGUGAAGCUCUUUUUUUGAGAGGUGUUUCAGCCACUCAAAAAAAAGCGGGAACGUACAGCACGACCCAAA